rnacentral:rRNA from 1 species
GAUCAUUACUGAGUUGACCCUAACUCUUCAACCCAUGUGAACUUACCACUUUGUUGCCUCGGCGGCAGAAAGGUUCAGGGGCGAGCUGCUUUCCUCCGGGGGAGUCUCUCGCUUCUGGGCUGGGCCGCCGGUGGACCACUAAACUCUGUUAUACUUGAAUCUCUGAGCAAACUAUAAUAAAUCAAAACUUUCAACAACGGAUCUCUUGGUUCUGGCAUCGAUGAAGAACGCAGCGAAAUGCGAUAAGUAAUGUGAAUUGCAGAAUUCAGUGAAUCAUCGAAUCUUUGAACGCACAUUGCGCCCACUAGUAUUCUGGUGGGCAUGCCUGUUCGAGCGUCAUUUCAACCCUUAAGCUCUGCUUAGUGUUGGGAGUCUGGUUAAACACAGUUCCCUAAAUCUAGUUGGCGGAGUGCAGUGGACUCUGAGCGCAGUAAUUUAUUCCUCGCUUCUGAAAUCCCUUGUGCUUCUGCCACUAAACCCCCCAAAUUUUUAAUGGUUGACCUCGAAUCAGGUAGGAAUACCCGCUGAACUUAAGCAUAUCAAUAAGCGGAGGAAAAGAAACCAACAGGGAUUGCCCUAGUAACGGCGAGUGAAGCGGCAACAGCUCAAAUUUGAAAUCUGGCCCUCGGGUCCGAGUUGUAAUUUGUAGAGGAUGCUUUUGGUGCGGUACCUUCCGAGUUCCUUGGAACAGGACGCCUUAGAGGGUGAGAGCCCCGUACGGUUGGAUACCUAGCCUCUGUAAAGCUCCUUCGACGAGUCGAGUAGUUUGGGAAUGCUGCUCAAAAUGGGAGGUAAAUUCCUUCUAAAGCUAAAUAUUGGCCAGAGACCGAUAGCGCACAAGUAGAGUGAUCGAAAGAUGAAAAGCACUUUGAAAAGAGGGUUAAAUAGCACGUGAAAUUGUUGAAAGGGAAGGGUUUAUGACCAGACUUUGGCCUUGCGGAUCAUCCAGUGUUCUCACUGGUGCACUUCGCUUGGUUGAGGCCAGCAUCGAUUUCUUCAGCGGGAUAAAGACUUGGGGAAUGUGACUCCUCCGGGAGUGUUAUAGCCCUUUGGUAAUACCGCUGAGGGAUCGAGGUCC